AGGACGAACGCUGGCGGCGUGCUUAACACAUGCAAGUCGAGCGAGGCCCUUCCUUCGGGAAGGUGCCCUAGCGGCGAACGGGUGAGUAACACGUGGGCAACCUGCCCCUAGCACUGGGAUAACUCCGGGAAACCGGGGUUAAUACCGGAUAUGACCUCCGAGGGCAUCCUUGGUGGUGUAAAGGAUUCUGGCUAGGGAUGGGCCCGCGGCCUAUCAGCUUGUUGGUGGGGUAAUGGCCUACCAAGGCGACGACGGGUAGCCGGCCUGAGAGGGCGACCGGCCACACUGGGACUGAGACACGGCCCAGACUCCUACGGGAGGCAGCAGUGGGGAAUAUUGCACAAUGGGCGAAAGCCUGAUGCAGCGACGCCGCGUGAGGGAUGACGGCCUUCGGGUUGUAAACCUCUUCAGCAGGACGAAGCGAAAGUGACGGUACCUGCAGAAGAGCACCGGCCAACUACGCGCCAGCAGCCGC
rnacentral:rRNA from 1 species